rnacentral:rRNA from 1 species
UGCAGUCGACGAAGUAGCAAUACUUAGUGGCAAACGGGUGAGUAAUAUGUGGCGCAUCUGCCUUUUGGCCUGGAAUAACACGAGGAAACUUGUGCUAAUACUGGAUAAGCCUUUACAGGGAAAGCUUUAUGCACCGAUAGAUGAGCCCGCACUUGAUUAGUUUGUUGGUGAGGUAAUGGCUCACCAAGACUAUGAUCAAUAGCUGAUUUGAGAGGAUGAUCAGCCACAUUGGGACUGAGACACGGCCCAAACUCCUACGGGAGGCAGCAGUGGGGAAUCUUGCACAAUGGGGGAAACCCUGAUGCAGCGAUGCCGCGUGAGUGAAGAAGGCCUUUGGGUUGUAAAGCUCUUUCGUCGGGGAAGAAAAUGACUGUACCCGAAUAAGAAGGUCCGGCUAACUUCGUGCCAGCAGCCGCGGUAAUACGAAGGGACCUAGCGUAGUUCGGAAUUACUGGGCUUAAAGAGUUCGUAGGUGGUUGAAAAAGUUGGUGGUGAAAUCCCAGAGCUUAACUCUGGAACUGCCAUCAAAACUUUUCAGCUAGAGUAUGAUAGAGGAAAGCAGAAUUUCUAGUGUAGAGGUGAAAUUCGUAGAUAUUAGAAAGAAUACCAAUUGCGAAGGCAGCUUUCUGGAUCAUUACUGACACUGAGGAACGAAAGCAUGGGUAGCGAAGAGGAUUAGAUACCCUCGUAGUCCGUGCCGUAAACGAUGUGUGUUAGACGUUGGAAAUUUAUUUUCAGUGUCGCAGCGAAAGCGAUAAACACACCGCCUGGGGAGUACGACCGCAAGGUUAAAACUCAAAUGAAUUUGACGGGGACCCGCACAAGUAGUGGAGCAUGUGGUUUAAUUCGAAGAUACGCGCAGAACCCUUACCAACACUUGA